rnacentral:rRNA from 1 species
UGAGCAAUCUGCCCUUCACAUCGGAAUAACCAUUGGAUACGAUGGCUAAUACCGAAUAUGACUUCGGAUCGCAUGAUCUGAAGUGGA